CAGCACGCGAGGCUAACAACUUGCUUAGCAACGGGGAAAAUAUGGCAGACGAACGGAAGAAGUUUCAACGAUCCAAGCGGAUUUUUAUCAACAAAAUAGACUCGUACUCGUCAAAAUACAUCGCACAGUAUCUGUCUACUUGCGCUGCUGGAGAAUCCUUAGAAGAUCCCAGACCUGGAGAGCGCUUUCAGAUUGUUGGCACUGUUAUCAAUAAAGAUGAGAAAAGGAGAAGAUUUGCUCUGGAGGAAUACUCGGCUUUAAAACGAGACGAGCUUCUUCAGCACCUGAUGGAUUGUGAUAUUAUUGUGUAUAACAUCUCAGAAGAUGCUGAAGCGAUUGAUGAAGCAACAUGGGUUGUUUCAGCCCUCCACAGUGAAAUCGAACACUUUACAUUUCCCAAGAUGUUUAUUUUGGUGUCAACAUUGAUGACCUGGGCAAAGACUAAACCAGCUGAUCCUGAUAGUCCUGAAAUUCCAGUCAUGGAAGAAGACUAUACACGGAAGAAGCCACAUCCAAACUUCAGAGAGCAUGCUAGUGCAGAGAAGCUCGUACUGAAGUUGGGGAAAACGGAAAAGACCAAGCUACGCACUUAUGUUGUCGGUGCAGGGAUGCAGUAUGGCAUGGGAGAAAGCAUCUUCCACUUCUUUUUUAAGGCAUGCUGGCUUGGUGAGUUGAGCAGCAUCCCGAUGCCAGAGCCAGGGACUAAUAUCAUUCCUACCAUCCACGUCCACGAUCUGGCUGGCGUGGUGCAAAACAUCAUCGAUCACAGACCCAAAAUGCACUACUUAAUUGCUGUGGAUGACUCCCAUAAUUCUUUGGAGGAAAUUGUAAAGGCCAUCGCAUAUGUGCUGGGUCCUGGAGAGGUUCAGAAUGUCCCUAAUGACAGUGUGCACCUUACAAAGGAACUUACGCGAGCCGAUCUAGCUUGCCUAAGUGUAAACCUCCUCAUUGAGACAGUUUUGCUGAAGAGGAGGCUGAACGUGCGCUGGGUGUGUGAAUCUGGACUCGUUAAGAACAUCGACCAUGUCGUAGAGGAGUACAGACAGAUCAGACAGCUCCAACCAAUCAAGAUUUGUCUCCUCGGCCCACCGGCUGUUGGGAAGAGUUCAGUCGCAGCACAACUGUGUAAACAUUACAAACUCCAUUAUAUUGGCGUCAAGGAGGCAGUUGAAGAGAAAAUAAAACAUUUGGAGGAAACGCUUCAUCAGAGUGAGGAGAAUAAUGACACUGAGGGAUCUGUACAGGCGACUCAGGAGCAGCUCAACACUCUGAAGGAUGCUCUUUCCCAGAAUCAAGGUCAGUUUGAAGACCACAAUAUUUCACUCAUCAUCAGAGAGAAGCUUCACUCAAAGCCGUGUAGAAAUCAGGGCUUCGUUUUGGAUGGCUAUCCCUGUACACACGAGCAAGCUAACAAACUUUUCAAUGAUGAGGAGAAGGAAGCAGGGAACUCCAGAUCUCAUUUACUGCCACAUGAUGACAAGAUAUUACCAGAAUAUGUCUUUUCACUCGAUGCCACUGAUGAGUUUCUGAAAGAACGAGCCCGGGGCCUUCCACAGUCUGUGGCAGAGGAGAUGCACUACACCCAGGAUGAGUUUGUACAGCGAUUGUCCAUCUAUAGGGAUGCAAACAUGGAGGAAGAAACAGUGCUCGACUAUUUCGACGAGCUGGAGAUCCACCCUGAACACAUUGAGAUCAGUAGCGUGAAUGACCCUGAAAAUGAAGCUGUGAUUAAGAAAAUAAUCGAAGUAGUGGGAGGCCCGAGGAACUACGGUCCCACACCUGAGGAACAGGAGGAACAGGAGAGGAAACAUGCUAUGGAGAAGCAGCAACGCCUCAUGCAGGAUGCAGCCGAGCGUGCACUCAGGGAAGCUGAGGAGGAGACCAGGAUGACUGCUCUGCUGGAGGAAUGGGCUGAAGCUGUUGUGUCCCUUAUAGAACAGGAACAUGAUGGAGGUGAAAAAGCAGGAGCAUGAGUUACUGGAGGCCCGCUCACUUCCACUGAGACACUACCUGAUGAAGUAUGUCAUGCCAACUCUCAGAGAAGGGCUUGUGGCAUGCUGUCAGGUGAAGCCUGAUGAUCCCAUUGACUUUCUGGCUGAAUAUCUUUUAAGGAACAACACAGAAGAGUAGUUUUCCCUUCACGGGACCUCCAUUGUUUUUUAAUCUAACACACUGCACAGUUGCUUUAAUUCAACUCAAUUUAAUUCAACACAACUCAAUUUAUGUUACUUCUAUUACAAAAAUAAAUACAAGUUUUCUCCCAGCUUGUGUACUUUGAAUAGUUUUAGUGCAGGUAGCAUGUCUACUCUGGAAAGUUAAAUGAAAACUAGUGCAGUUUAGCCCAGUGGUGAGCUGGCAUCCCAUCCAAGGUGUAUCCUCACCACACAACCAGUGCUACUGGAAUAGGCUUUAGAUCCACCCUGACCAGGAUAAAGCAGUAACAGAAAGUGAGUGAGUAGCAGUAGUUUAUGUCGAUCAGUUGAAACUUCACAAUUUGGAUUAACGAGAAACUUUUUUAUCCAAUCUGUAAUUUUCUUUCAACCCAAACGAAUGGGUUAUUUUAUGGCUUAUUUUAUUUUAUCUGUUUAUUUCUGAUAUAAAUCAUUACAUUGUAUCCCACCUGUAUUACAAGCCCUUGUUCACAACC